GUGGAAUAGAAAGAAUUAGCAAUUCCCACAUGUUAGUCAACUUCAGCUUGUGUGAGAACAGACAUGACAGAGCUGACCAACGGUUAAUCGGGAGACACCACCUACUUGGAAUCGCUGCAGUCCCCUCUUAAUUAAAUAAAUCUCAAACCUUGGGGAUAGAACGGGCUGCAGUUCUGAAAAAAGGUGCAAGAGACUUCUGACAAAUGUGGGCUGCAGGGGAUGGGUGUCUAAACCAGUUGCUCUAAAGUGUCUGCGAAAGCAAAAUUCUUCGCUUGUUAUCCUUUGAUAUAGAAAGCCAGACACUUUUAACUGAGUUCCACCCAUAUUCAUCUCCACAGAUGACUAGGAUAAUUAACGUCACCUGUAGUAAACAGGUUCCAAUCACCUUUCAUGCAGAUGUAUUUUAUGUGGAAUUAAUCAUUAAUCUCCAAGAUUUAUUUCAAGAAACCUAGUUAUAAAACAAUAAGACUAUACCUCUAUCCUUACAUAAAAUGUACAGACUCGUGAUCUCCUGGUGCAAAGUCCACAGAGAUUUGACCCACAACCAUUUGCUUACACAAUUGAUGCGCCGUCUGGGAACUCCGAUGCUGUUUAUCUGAACAACAGAAACAACCCCGCCAGAACAUUCCAAUGCCCACAUAUAUUUAGAAGUAUUGCUACAGGUGAUGCCUUGAACUUGACCUUAGGUAUGUUAAUCAAUGAAAUACAUGCUGGGAGAAAAAUCUGAUUAUAUUGCUUCCUACAGAAGGUUAUUUUGUUAUAUUGAAAUUCAGGGUUACAACAACGAAGUUCAAUUCCUGUGGUAUAUAUAAUAUGCUCUUAGUGUUAAGAUUUUGAAGUUAUAGGCAAUAAAAUGUCGCUAAGGCGAGACAAACUCUUUUUAUUUUGGUUAUUCCUGGGGGCUGAGAUCCGCAUUUCACUGCGCAUCCUAAAAAAAAAGUCGAUCACUUGGAUUCUCAGCUAAAUCCGAUUGUGUAAUACUCAGUGUUUUCGCUAAUGCAUGUUGAAUUUUAACAGCGAUAGAUAAGGGGUUUUUAAAAAAUAUUUUGUCCACUCACCAAAAAAAAAAAAUAAUAAAAAAAAUUAGAUUCUACUAUGCCACCCUGCUAACUGUAUAGGAGAGCCCUACUCAAGAAUUGUGAAACACACCGACCUAAAGACAUUUCUUCAUCAAGGAUUGUUUCAGGGGGCGGGUACAGGAAGUAUCAUUAUACUGAGCCUGUCAAACCAACGACUUCGAACAUUAACAUAUUCUGAUGGACUCUAAGAACUAUAUUAUAAUAAAGGUAACCUGUACUUAUGUAACUUUUUAAAUCUUAUAUUUGUAAAACACAAGUUGUGGAUUGUAAAAUGUAAUAGCUUUACCACACACGUUUUAUAUUGUUCUGUAAGGUCUUCUUUCUUUUGUGUACUGUAUUUUAGCUAUGCAAAUAAAAUACAAGGGUGCUUAU